rnacentral:sRNA from 1 species
UGUCCAUGCCCUUCUUGGGCGUUUCCUCCCUAGACUUCCACCGCGUUGUGCAAGCAGCGCGGUUUUUUUUGAGGAAU